CCCUUAGAUGUUCUGGGCCGCACGCGCGCUACACUGACGAAUGCAACGAGCUUAUAGCCUUGGCCGAAAGGUCUGGGUAAUCUCCAAAUUUCGUCGUGAUGGGGAUAGAUUAUUGCAAUUAUUAAUCUUCAACGAGGAAUGCCUAGUAAGCGCAAGUCAUCAGCUUGCGUUGAUUACGUCCCUGCCCUUUGUACACACCGCCCGUCGCUCCUACCGAUUGAAUGGUCCGGUGAAGCGUUCGGACCGUGGCCUUUGGACGGUUCGCCGUCUGUUGGCUGCGGGAAGUUCGUUAAACCUUAUCAUUUAGAGGAAGGAGAAGUCGUANCA
rnacentral:rRNA from 1 species